ACCACUGAGCCACCUUCCCAGCCCUUAAUGACUCUUAAAAAUUAAAAAAAAAAAGGGCUGGGAAGGUGGCUCAGUGGU
rfam:Dipodomys ordii contig_47004, whole genome shotgun sequence.